UUGGUUAACCGCGUACAAAGAUCCUGUUUCAAGCUUAAAGUAAAUUUUUUUUUAUUAUUUUAAGCUUGAAACAGGAUCUUGUACGCGGUUGACCA
rnacentral:pre_miRNA from 1 species